rnacentral:snRNA from 1 species
UUGUUUGCACUUCGGCAGCAUGUAUACUAAAAUUGUGACAAUUCAGGCAAGAUGAGCAUGGACCCUGGGCAAGGUUGGUGUGCAUGUGAGUAGGUUUUUCUUUCC